GAUGAACGCUAGCUACAGGCUUAACACAUGCAAGUCGAGGGGAAACGACAUCGAAAGCUUGCUUUUGAUGGGCGUCGACCGGCGCACGGGUGAGUAACGCGUAUCCAACCUGCCCAUCACUUGGUAAUAACCUUGCGAAAGUAAGACUAAUACCCAAUGAUAUCCCACGAAGGCAUCGGAAUGGGAUUAAAGAUUUAUCGGUGAUGGAUGGGGAUGCGUCUGAUUAGCUUGUUGGCAGGGUAACGGCCCACCAAGGCAACGAUCAGUAGGGGUUCUGAGAGGAAGGUCCCCCACAUUGGAACCGAGACACGGUCCAAACUCCUACGGGAGGCAGCAGUGAGGAAUAUUGGUCAAUGGGCGAGAGCCUGAACCAGCCAAGUAGCGUGAAGGAAGACGGCCCUAUGGGUUGUAAACUGCUUUUAUAAGGGAAUAAAGUGGGUCACGUGUGACUUUUUGCAUGUACCUUAUGAAUAAGGACCGGCUAAUUCCGUG
rnacentral:rRNA from 1 species